rnacentral:rRNA from 1 species
CAACCCUUAUCUUCAGUUACUAACAGGUCAUGCUGAGGACUCUGGAGAGACUGCCGUCGUAAGAUGUGAGGAAGGUGGGGAUGACGUCAAAUCAGCACGGCCCUUACGUCCGGGGCUACACACGUGUUACAAUGGGGGGUACAGAAGGCAGCUAGCGGGUGACCGUAUGCUAAUCCCAAAAGCCUCUCUCAGUUCGGAUCGAAGUCUGCAACCCGACUUCGUGAAGCUGGAUUCGCUAGUAAUCGCGCAUCAGCCACGGCGCGGUGAAUACGUUCCCGGGCCUUGUACACACCGCCCGUCAAGCCAUGGGAGCCGGGGGUACCUGAAGUACGUAACCGCAAGGAUCGUCCUAGGGUAAAACUGGUGACUGGGGCUAAGUCGUAACAAGGUAGCCGUACCGGAAGGUGCGGCUGGAACACC